rnacentral:rRNA from 1 species
UCGAGAAUUUUUCACAAUGGGCGAAAGCCUGAUGGAGCGACGCCGCGUGGGGGAUGAAUGGCUUCGGCCCGUAAACCCCUGUCAUUCGGGAUCAAUGCCUUCCACCUAACACGUGGGCGGUUGAUAGUACCGGAAGAGGAAGGGACGGCUAACUCUGUGCCAGCAGCCGCGGUAAUACAGAGGUCCCAAGCGUUGUUCGGAUUUACUGGGCGUAAAGGGUGCGUAGGUGGUUGGACAAGUCUGACGUGAAAUCUCCGGGCUCAACCCGGAAAUGGCGUUGGAUACUGUCCGGCUAGAGGGUUGGAGGGGGGACUGGAAUACUUGGUGUAGCAGUGAAAUGCGUAGAUAUCAAGUGGAACACCAGUGGCGAAGGCGAGUCCCUGGACAACUCCUGACACUGAGGCACGAAAGCUAGGGGAGCAAACAGG